CCUACGGGAGGCAGCAGUGGGGAAUAUUGGGCAAUGGAGGCAACUCUGACCCAGCAACGCCGCGUGAAUGAUGAAGGUCUUCGGAUUGUAAAGUUCUUUUCUACGGGAAGAAGAAAGGGGCGGUACCUUAGGAAUAAGCCUCGGCUAACGACGGGCCAGCAGCCGCGUUAAUACGUAGGGGGCAAGCGUUAUCCGGAAUGACUGGGCGUAAAGGGGGCGUAGGUGGUUUGACAAGUUAGUAGCGCAACUCCGGGGCUCAACUUCGGAACUACUACUAAAACUGUUGGCCUUGAGUGCAGGGGAGGCAAUCGGAAUUCGUAGUGUAGCGGUGGAAUGCGUAGAUAUUAGGAGGAACACCAGUGGCGAAGGCGGCUUGCUAGACUGUAACUGACACUGAGGCACGAAAGCGUGGGGAGCAAACAGGAUUAGAUACCCUUGUAGUC
rnacentral:rRNA from 1 species